rnacentral:rRNA from 1 species
UACGGAGGGUGCGAGCGUUGUCCGGAAUCAUUGGGCGUAAAGGGCGCGUAGGUGGCGGGACAAGCGUGCGGUGAAAGCCUGGGGCUCAACCCCGGGUCGGCCGUGCGAACUGUUUUGCUUGAGCACUGUAGAGGCAGGCGGAAUUCCGGGUGUAGCGGUGGAAUGCGUAGAGAUCCGGAAGAACGCCGGUGGCGAAGGCGGCCUGCUGGGCAGUUGCUGACACUGAGGCGCGACAGCGUGGGGAGCAAACAGG